rnacentral:tRNA from 1 species
GGAGAUGUAGCUCAGUUGGUUAGAGUACAUGCCUCAGAUGCACAAGGCCUGGGUUCAAUCCCCAGUAUUGCCA